GUUUUUGGCUGCUGCUCAGCUGUUCUUCCUCCUUCAUUAUGCACAGAGCUUGAAUUAUAAUACAUUUAUGGCUUCUAUGGAGUCAGCUUUCAGUGCCAUGCUUGGCCAGUUUGACUAUGAUGACAUAGCUAGGUCUUCACCUGGAUUGGGCCCAGUGUCAUUCUUUGUGUUUGCUUUCUUCAUGGGGAUUAUUAUGGUUAACCUACUACUUACCCUUAUUCUCCGCAGCUUUUAUGAGAUCAAAAAGGACAUCAGGAGACAAGGCAAUGAAUAUGAAAUACUUGAUUUCAUACUGAAGAAGGUAAGGAGAGUUGCUGGCAUUGGCCCCAUAUCAAGCAACAUUGGGCCACCGAACACCACUACUGAGGACCAGAAACAAGUAAGUACAUAUAGUAUUUCAGUACAUAGUAUGUAAUAUACUCAAGAAAUGUCCUUAAAAGUAAGUCACAAAGAAUUGGUUUUACUGUUUGUAAUUAAUCUGUCCUUCUGAGGAAGUAUAAAGUUGAUGUUCAUAUUAACCCUUAAACGCCGAGCCGGUAUUUCCGAAAGUGUCUCCCGUAUGCCAGUGGGGUUCAAGAGUGAGUGCCGAGGCAGAAAGUUUUUAUCAAAAAAUCACAGAACGCUUAGUUUUCAAGAUUAAGAGUUCAUUUUUGGCUCCUUUUUUUGUCAUUGCCUGAUGUUUAGUAUGCAACCAUCAGAAAUGAAAAAAAAAUAUCAUUAUCAUAUAUAAAUGUUGGAGUAUAUGACAGCGCGAAAAAAAAUUUCAUACAUGAUUGUAUACAAAUUGUGCUGUGAGCAAAACAGUUAAAGCUAAUGAGUUAGUUUUUUCGUUGAAUUGUACACUAAAUUGCAAUGAUUUUGGUAUAUAACAAAUUGUAAAACGAUCAAAGCAACACAAAGAAAAUAUUAUCACAAUAUGAUGCAUGAAUUCGUAACGCGCGGACGUAAAACAAAGUCGUUUUCAAAAAUUCACUAUAAAUAGAAAUAUUGUGCUAGAGACUUCUCGUUUGUUGUAAAAUGAAGGUAAUUGAUUGAAUAUUACUAGACUGUAAGUGUUGUAGCUUACAAUUGCAUUUUUCGACCAUUUCGGUCGAGUUAAAGUUGACAGAAGGUCGAAUUUUUUCUAUUUAUCAUGAUUUAUAUGAAAAUAUUUCAAAACUGACAAAAGCUACAACCAUGAGUUAUUUUUUUUUUGUAUUCUACAUGAAAUUGCACACAUUUUCAUAAAACUUUAUGUAACGGCUAAUAUAAAAUGGUGUAAACAUUACGACAAUCUGACGAAAGAAUUUCUGAUUUUUUCGGCAGAGUUACCAUGCGGACGUAAGGAAAAUUUUUUUUUCAAAAAUUCACCAUAAAUCGAAAUAUUGUGCUAGAUACUUCCAAUUUGUUGCUAAAUUAAGGUAAAUGAUUGAAUAUUAUUAGAAUGUAAGAGUUUUAGCUUACAAUUGCGUUUUUCUACCAUUCCGGUCGAGUCAACGUUGACCAAAGGUUAAAAUUUUGGCACUUAUCGUGAUUUAUAUGAAAAUAUUUCAAAACUGAUAAAAUCUACAACCAUGGGUUGUUUAUUGUUGUAUUCUACAUGAAAUUGCGCACAUUUUCA